GCAGUGGCAUCAACUCAGAGUACAAACUGAUUAAAUAAUCUCAUUUACGAUCAUAAUCUGAUCAAUCCUUUAAAAUUACAAGCCUUUUUUACGAGUGAUUCAGAAUGAAACCUACAUGCAUUUUCCUUUUAUACGGCUUAUUAUUCCUUCUGAAUCGCUUU